GUGGGGAAUUUUGGACAAUGGGCGCAAGCCUGAUCCAGCAAUGCCGCGUGCAGGAAGAAGGCCUUCGGGUUGUAAACUGCUUUUGUACGGAACGAAACGGUCCGGGUUAAUACCCUGGGCUAAUGACGGUACCGUAAGAAUAAGCACCGGCUAACUACGUGCCAGCAGCCGCGGUAAUACGUAGGGUGCAAGCGUUAAUCGGAAUUACUGGGCGUAAAGCGUGCGCAGGCGUUUUUGUAAGACAGGCUUGAAAUCCCCGGGCUCAACCUGGGAAUUGCGCUUGUGACUGCAAGGCUGGAGUGCGGCAGAGGGGGAUGGAAUUCCGCGUGUAGCAGUGAAAUGCGUAGAUAUGCGGAGGAACACCGAUGGCGAAGGCAAUCCCCUGGGCCUGCACUGACGCUCAUGCACGAAAGCGUGGGGAGCAAACAGGAUUAGAUACCCGAGUAGUCC
rnacentral:rRNA from 1 species